AACCCUGGUAUAAGUAGCACUGAGGGGAUCGCAGCGGAUUUUAAAGCAUGAUCUGAUAUGCACUAGAGCACUUUUGAAUGAAAUGGGCUAAUCCCGCCCAUACUGUGACGUCAUUUGGGCGUCGAUAAUUGAAUGGUGGGUAGAUAAGGGGCCGGUGAGGCAAGGUCAGAUAGGCUGAUGGUAUCUCUGUAUGAUGGCAGGACGGCUGUUAAAUGAUGUUUAUGUCUCCUGAUGACGGUCUGCUAUGACCGAAAACGUUUGAGCUUACCUCUGGAUAACUAUAAUGGACUGUGUUACACAGUCAUGUAUGCUGUCUGGGCAAUAAACUUUUGCUAAAUAUCUCAUUAAGAAAAGACUGGUGAGUGCUCCAUUUUUUUGUAUCUACAAGUGGAUCCCCUGGAGGGUUUUCGUGGAAGACACCCCAGCUGUUGUUCCAGUAUUACACGAGUGGAGUUUAUCAGGACUGAAUAUGCUGGAGUAGCAGAUGUGAUGGCUGGGGAAUAUUUUAUUCAAGUGCACAGCACAUUUCCUGUUAGUAAUAUCAGGGAAGGACACUGCAGCCACAAAAUGGCUAAAGUCCCACGCUCUGAACUUGAACCUUAGAAAUGUUAGGGUCCCACCUGAUGAGAUCAUUUGGUCAUGAGCCAGUUCUAAUAAUACAGAGGGUGGCAUAAAGAACAUUUCUCCAUUAACAUUGUCAUCUAUGUACAAGAAGGUUCAUCUCCACAAUACAGAAGGGGCAAUCAAUUGAGUAUGAGGGGCAGACUAUAUGACCAGGAGCAUCUGGAGUACAGACUCCAGACGGAUAAGCAAGAACAAGAAUUUAAAGGAUAUUACAGCAAUUGCUUUUCAGCAUUUAAGAUACAAAAAACCUCUGCAAAAAUGGCUUCUUGUGGCAGGUGCACCCCAUUUCCCAUCCAACAAAAAAUGGGCGAUAUACGUAAAGGAACAGAUUUGCUGUAAACCCACUAUUCCACAAUACAGAUUGCUACUGUAAGACAACGCAACUAAUGGUUGGUCGCCUUAUACUCAAUGUUCCAGUUAAUCCUGAAGCCACCAAAGGGGGACAUUUAUCAAAGCUUGGAGGGGAGAUGUUCUAAGCCUUGGAGAAUGAGAGAGCGGAGAGAGAUAAAGUACCAGCCAGUCAGCUCCAAACUGCCCUGUUACAAGCUGUGUUUGAAAAAUGAUAGGAGCUGAUUGGUUGGUACUUUAUCUCUCUCCACUUUGCUUAGUAAAUCUCCCCCAAACAGAGAUAAAGUGGCUAAACAUAUAAUGUACCAACCAAUCAGCUCCUAACUUGACAUUUUUCAAACAGUCUGUAACAUGACAAUUAUGAGCUGAUUGGCUGGUACUUUCUUCUCCAAGCUUCGAUAACUCUUCCCGAGUCACGACCUUUGUUCUCAGAAGUCCAAAAUGGAUGCCUCCUAUGAGCAUUUAUUAAGGCCUUAAACAGCCAAUGAGAUAUAAGCUUUGGCUGCACCAAACAUCUGAUUGGCUGAUUUGUUUGACACCCAUUUACGCAAAAUUAUUAAAUAAAGAACUUUUAAUGUACAGUAGAAGCCACAUCCAGUUGUAGUUGAAAAUAAAAUGUCCGGCUCAAUCAUUUGCUUAUCUGCGAGAUGCACAGUAACUCAGAGCACAGUAUAGCACCGACAGAUACAUAUAAAGCCAGACAAGUGUCCCCAGUUUCAUGAACUGAGAGGCGAUCACGCAUGACAAGUUAACUGUUUAAUUAAAUGGAAAUCAAUUACCUUUGCAGUACAGAGCACGAAGCAAAAUGUGUGGGUUGCAUUUCUGUAUCAGGUGUCUAGAGACACAAAGCUAGGUGGCCAGAGGCGAAGGGGAAAAUGAAUUGCAACUCUGCAUUUAAUAUUUACAGCUCAAAGUACUUUACAUUAAUCAUUUCAAACAAUGCAAAACCUCUUACAUGGUUCAAGUUAAAACAAAUAAGUUGCUAGAAUUUUUUUAUUUUUUUUACUUUACAAUUUGCAAUUUGAGCACAUUUUACAGCUAAAAGUAGGGAUUAUCUUUGUUUUGACAGUACCACAGGGUCAGUUACAAAUG